GGAUGUGAGGGUGAUCUGGCUGCGACAUCUGUCAUUCCAUUGAUGACUAGAGUUGAUUUGGCUGAUCUGGCUGGCUAGGUGGGUGUCCCCUUCCUCUCUCAUUGCUCCAUGUCUGUCCCUCCCAAAGCUGCAUGCUCAGUGGAAGAGGGUAACGUUCCAGGUAUAGAGGGAGUAUACCAAGGUCUCUAGUCUUCAGUCCCGGGUAUAUGAUAGCUGCGCUCCCCUGCUAGAACCUUCAAACAAGCUCAAGAAAUGUGAAUUCAGAAAUAUUUUAGUUGCUUAUUAUGUGAAUAAGGAAACAAAGACUAAUAUUGUAGUGAGCUUAAAUUAAUUUUAUCAAGUGAUAAAUGUAUAUACU
rfam:Anolis carolinensis unplaced genomic scaffold chrTn0021, whole genome shotgun sequence.